rnacentral:lncRNA from 1 species
UCUAAGUCACAUUGGCACAGAUUUUAUGAUUGCAGACCCCUUGAAUAAAGGGCUGCCUAAUCAUGUUUUUCACAGGCAUGUGGCAAGCAUGGGAUUGCAAUUCAGUUUUGAUACCUAAAGUCAGUGGGAGUCAGUGGGAGCUAGAGUUCUUGCAGUUAUGUUUUAAUUUAGAUUUUGUUAACUAGUUCUAUCUAGUCAGAUUCUGUUUAAAGUAGACUUAUUUGAAUUGUUUUUUUUUUUUUUUUUUAUAAUGUUCUGCAUUUACUGCUUCUGGAUGACAAAUAGAAUAAAGGCCAAACUGUGAUCAUGCUAGCAUUAUGUUUUGCAGUUUGAAUCUAUGAAUGAGUCAUUAAAGAAGACCUUGGUAGUCUUAAAGGGUGAGCAAAGAAUUGUUUUGUUUUAUUACACUUACAGUAAAACAAAAGGGUUCUCGUUUCAAUCUAGUUGGAUGCCUUAUGUGUUUUGCAGGUUCAUAUAUGUGAUUAUAAAAGUCUUGGAUGUUAUAUAUCCAGUGUACUUCGAUAGUCCUCUAUGAAUUUUCAAAAUGACAGUGGCUUGAUAAAGGAACAAGAGAAUUUUGAGUUCCACAUGGCCAUCAAGUGAUGAGCAAUAAGUCUGAAUUGAUUAUUAGAUCAAGUGGGAGAAUGUAAGAAGGUUUAUUGUCUUAAACCUACUGAAGUGAUCUUCUAAUCUAUAAAGGAUUGAAAGACUUAUUGUUUAUCAGGAACUCAAACCUAUCUCUAUUAGGUAGCCUUUAACUCAGUGUUUAAUAAGGAUAAUGAAGGCUUAAAGGUUCCUAGUUCUACAAGGAUUGGAAUAGAUUAGUUCUAUCGCAUGAAGGAUAUCUCUAAGUGUUUCCUGAUGGGCAGGACACUUAGAGAGAUGCAUAUAUAUAGAAGGCUCCCUCCUAGAUCCGAAACAUACAACACAGCUAAACAGAAAUUCACCCAUCAGAGUUAUAGCUAUAAGGAUCGGAUUCUCAGGAGAAGAACUUCUAUACCUUGCGCUGCCAAUCUGUUCCAGCAUCAUCCAAUCUGUUCCAGCAUCAUCCAAUCUGUUCCAGCAUCAUCCAAUCUGCGCCAGCACCAUGUCAGACUCAGGUUAGUGUUAAACAUGUUAUAGCUUGAAAGAAUUUACACAUCACCCCCUCUCUGUUGGUUGAUGUGGGAUGUUACAUGCUCGAGGAGAGCAAUAAAACCCAACUUGUCCAGCUGGAAUUGCUUUAAAAUAUCGAGUUCGUUCGUCGAAAAAUUGACAAGUUAUUAGAUCUCAAAUCAGCUAAAAGAGUCGGGACUUAUCUGAAAAAUAAAAUCUAGAUUCUAGGUUUGUUUAGUAAUUCCAAAAUUGUGAUAUGGGCCUUAAAACUUCAAACGCACAUGACUUCUUCGUGCAACUCCGAUUUUCGAACCGUUUUUGCCUACAAGCUCAUGAGCUCAAGUUAUAUGUUUCUAGCCAAGAAUCACAAUUUUCCAACUUCAAUAAAGAUUCUUAAUAAAAUCAUAAUAAAUCACGCAAGAACAUUUUUGUCCAAAUUACUUUUAGACACACUUAAAUCCAAUAUUUUUAAUCCCAUGAUACUUGAUAAUAUACCUGUAAUCAUUCUACACCAUAAUAUUAUUUUUCAGUAAAAUAAGAAAAAUAAUAGGCAAUUUUCAUGUUAUAACAAUAACGAUAAUGAGACCCUUUCUUGUAUCAACAUGUUUGCCCAUUUAAAGUAACUAUACAAGUAAUACAUGAAAUAUAUAUAAAGUUGCAUAACAUGCUUGGCUUAAAAGCAUAAUUCCAACAAGAAAGAAUGACAACACAUGUUGAGGGGUAAAAAUGAAAUGCAAUACAUAAUAAUGGGUAGAAAGGGUAACAAGAAGCGUGAGCAGUUGUAGCAUUUAACGAGGUUGGCUUUUGAACAUUCCUAGUAGAGAUUUUAAAAAAAAAAAAAAAAAGGAAUUUUAAUACUACUUUAAUCCCUAGCAUUGGGAACUUAUUUGAUGAUACACGUGGAUAGCAAGUAUUGUCAGAGUCGCUCAAGUGAGUGUGAAUAGCAAAGCUCAAAAAAAGAAUUCAAUUUAAGUAUUAAAAUUUUGUGAAUUUUGUUCUUAUUUUUUAAUCAUUUUAAAAUAUUUUUUUCAUUAUUGUUUGGGCUAACGACAAAAGACACCCUAUUGGUUUAGAGUCAUUCUCAAAUUGGGCCCCAGGGUAUCAAUUUUAUCAAUUUACGCCCUUACGUUUUCAACAUCGUUCAAUUUCAUAUUUCCGUUAAGUUGACCAGAUGGUCAAUAGUUAAAUACUGACGUGGCACCUGUGGGACCCACCCCAUCAGCGAUUGACCAUUAUGCGCAUGCCAGUUGAAGGGUAGUUUUGGGUUUCAACAAUUCAAAAAAAAAAAAAAAAUUUGAAAAUUGUGCCCAAAUUAGGCACGCGUUGCAAAGCUAGAGAUCGAAGAAAAAGCCCCAAAAUGUCAUUCGUCCUCAACCUCAAUUUAACCUUAAUCCUAAAUUUCCAUAGCUGAGAGCUCAGAUCUACGAUUUCGAAAAAGUGAGAAGAAAUGAGUUGGGAUUUUAGGGCUCCAGGCACUCCGCAUCCCUCGUACAGUAAGUUGGUUUAAAUUUUUGCGAUUUGGGAUAUCUGUGGUGAAUGGGUUAGAGGUUGGGUUAUUGUGGUUUGAAUGUUGUCUUUUAUAAUCUGCGUGGAAUAGUGGGAGAAGUAUGAAAGAUUUUGUGGAAUAUAGGUGGUCCUUUUGCAGAUUUCGAAUAUAGGUUGUCCUUCAAGCUAAGCAUGUGCUGGCAAUGCCUACCUUUAAUAAGGUCAAAGUGUCUGCCUUUAAUAAGGCAAAAGUGUUAGGUGGAAGGUGUGAAAAGGAUUGUUUAAUAAAAACUUAGCCUUUUCUAUAAUGGUCCUAAACUGAAAAUAAUUGAAAACUGUGUUUUGGUUUUUGUGUAAUGUGUGAAUACUGUGUUUAGUGUUGUGUGUUAUGUUUUAACUGAAAAUAAAUGUUUGGGACAUGUAAUAUGUAGGUGAUCCUGAAUUGUUUUCUAUUCGAAUGUCCCAUGGUGGUCAAAUAAGUGGUAACUGUUAUGCUUCUGGCAAUGUAGCUUGGUCUGAUUAUUGUGACAAGGAUCAAAUGUCAAUGACUGAGAUAGACAACAUGGUAAGGGAGUUAGGUUAUGAUGGGGUGAUUACUGGUAUAGUAUCCCUACCUAUAGCAAUGGUGGCCUAACAAAGCUUAAUGAUGAUCAAGAUGUCAUAGACAUGCGUGUAUUUGUACUAGAGACAAGGCUAAUAGACAUCUUCCGACAUCAUGAGGUCGAUAGUAAUGAGGGUUGGUUUUAUAGUCAAUCAUGAUCAAAUCUAUUUGUUGAUUUAGAAGCUGAUAUUAUGCCUUACAAAGGAGUUGUGAUUGAGGAGCUUGAUGACAAUUAUGGGGCUAUUGUUCCUGUUGGUGGGAAAUGCAAACAAUGGAGACAACAGAAAAAAAAAAAAAAAAAAAUGUUGUGAUAGAAGAACUCAAUGAAGACCCAAAUAGGGAACAAAGUGGUGGGGGUACGCAAAAGGCAAGGGAAUCUUGUGCAAGACAGGGUGUUUCUGAAAAAGGCAAAGAAAAAGCAGUAGAGAGGGAAUCUUUUGCAGUGCAAACAUAAAAAGAAAAGCUGUUGAGAGGGAAUCUUCUACCCCUGUAGACAAAGGGAAAAGUAAAGUCAGUUUUGUUUUUUGAAAAAGGAGGGCAAGAGCUUUUGGUAAAAGGAGGUGUAAAAAUGUAAAGAAGACACGUGAUAAAGAAGUCCAAAGGUCCAAUACAGUAACUGAGGGACUAGUUUAGAAUUAGGUUGUUGAAUCAACUGUAGAACAGAGCAAGUUAUCAAGAUGUCAUCUAAUGAAGACAAGAAAAGCAAGGAAAAGGACCACAGUCUGUGAUGAUGAGGAGUCAACAGACAGUCUUGACUCUGAUUUUGCAGACCCUAACUUCAGUUGUGAUGAUAAUGAUGAUGAUGUCGAUUUUGAUGAAUGGGUGGACAAAAAAAUUGAGUGGGUUGGAGAUGGGGAAAAAGGAAAAGAGCCAGAGUCAACAAAUGUUGGGGUUGAAUCUUGGGAUUGGGGUACAUAUGUUGAAUUGGAUUCAGAGGAGUGAGAUUCUGAUAAUGUGCAGCCUAAAUAUGACUCUGAUGAUGACACUCCAAUGACGGAUAGAUGGCCAGAGUUCAAUCUAGCAAUUGACAUGGGAGAUCCACAGUUUGAGGUUGGGAUGAAGUUCAGUGAUUGAAAAGAUUUUAGAUCGGCUGUCAAAGAACAAUUUAUAAAGAUGAAUAGGGAUGUUGUAUUUGUGAGAAGUGAGGCUUUCAAGCUAAAGGCAGUUUGUGCAUAUCCAGAUUGUCCAUGGGAGAUAUAUGCUUCCAAAAUGCAGCAUGAGAAGACCUAGCAGGUUAAGAAAUAUGAGGGUGAACACACUUGUGGUAUUGUUUGGGAGAACCCCACUGUCAAGUCUAGUUGGCUCAGUGCUAAAUAUAUGGAAACAUUGAAGAGCAAUCCAAGUUGGCCAGUUAGCUCAUUCAUAGAGACUGUGGAGAAGGAUUAUAACACUGGAGUUUCUAGGAAACAAGUUUAUAGGGCAAAAGAGAGGGCAUUGAGGCAGAUUGAGGGAAUAUACACAUAACAAUACUCCAGAAUUUGGGAUUAUUGUGAAGAGUUAAGGAAGACCAAUCCAGGAACAACAACCAAAGUUCAAUGUGAUUUCAAUGAACAAUUGGGUCAUCUAGUGUUUCAAAUGUUAUAUGUGUGUCUAGGUGCAUGUAAAGCAGGUUUAUUGCUGGAUGCAGACCCAUUAUUAGAUUGGAUGGCUGCUUCUUGAAGGGUGUAUAUGGGGGGCAAUUUUUAGCAGCAGUUGGUAUAGAUGCUAAUAAUGAAACAUGGGUGAUUACGUAUGCAAUGGUUGAGUCUGAGUGCAAGGACUCAUGGGUUUGGUUUCUGGAAUUGCUGGUAAAAGAUGUAGAGAUUGUUAACCAGUUUGGAUACACUUGCAUAUUAGAUAAGCAAAAAUGAUUAUUACCAACUUUUGAGCAAGUUGUUCCUAACAGUGAACACAGGUUUUGUGCAAGUCAUCUGCUCCCCAAUUUCAUAUUACAAUUCAAAGGGAAAUCUUUGUCUGACAAAUUCUGGGGCGCUGCAAAGCAACAACUGUUCCACAGUUUGCAAGCCAGAUGGAAGAGCUGAAAAACCUUGAUAAGGAUGCUUAUCAUUCCCUUACUGAACUAGAAAAACCUCCCAAGCAUUGGUCUCGAUCACACUUCAGCACUCAUGUGAAGUGUGAUAUACUUUUAAACAAUAUGUGUCAGUCCUUCAACUCAUUCAUAUUGGCAUGCAGAGAUAAGCCAAUACUGACCAUGCUUGAGAUAGUUAGGUGUAAGUUGAUGAGGAGGAUACAAGGCAGAAAGGACAAAAUGAAGAAUUGGACAAAUGCAAUUUGCCCCAAGAUUUUUAAGAAGGUAGAGAUAAAUAAGGCAAAAUCAAGUGGUUCUGAUACCAACUGAAAGGACCCGCCCCGAAUUUCCCAAAACCCAAGGCGAAUCCUGUGAAAUUCCCGACAUCACCCCGAUGUCGGGCCCACAUGCUAAAAACCGAGACUUUCUGCCGAAAUUUCGGUAGAGUCUCCCCUAUAAAUUGGACAUUUCCCAAAAUUUCACCCUGCAUAAAAACGCAUUUAAUAUCCUCAACUGGCAGCAUGCACAAUAUAAUUUCAUGCAAUUCACAUAAAUGGCCUUCGGCCUUCCAAUAAUUCUCAACAAACUACCAAACACGCUAACAAGUCAAUUCAUGCCUUAAACAAGGCAAACAAUAAAUUUAAAUAUAAAUUAUGACUAUUAAAUUUCAACAUGCAUCACUUAACCUUUCACAUUUCGAUAUAUGAGGUUUUAGCCUCCUAACACAAUCACUCUUUCACCUAAAUUUUAGGACCAACAACAAGGUCCGAAUCAAUCUCUCUAAAACAACGUGACUAACAUUUAGUCUGCGGCUGCACCUAAUAAUCUUAGGCUGCCUACGUACCCUCCCUGAAGGAUCAAGCCACACGUAGUUCUUCCUUAACACCUAAGUCCACACAUAGGCAAUACCUUAUUUCAUUUCUCUGUAUAUCACAUAAUCUCCCCAUACGCCGGUACAACCACGCCACGUAUGGGGCCUGUCAACACGCCAGAUAACCUACGCCACGUGGGACCUAACUUUCACAAGGUGGUACGUGUAGUGUAACCAAAAUCCGGGGAGGUACCUAAGGUAGUGCGUAUAGCACUUCAAACUGACAUUCUAGACUCUUUUGUACCCUUGUACAAACAUAUAUAAUUAUAUAUAUAUUAAUACUAAUAUUGUGUAAACCUCAACAAUGGUCUAGCACCCGAUAAUCCCCCUAGGAAGGUGAGAUUACUCCGGGAGGACUCACGGUCAACCAAAGGUCAAACUACCCUAACCCUGGUCAAACAGGCCUACGGGGCCCACGACCUCCAAAUUCUGAUCCGAAAGUUCCUAUGGGUUCUACAAGGUAUAGGACACUCGUCCUGCAAGUUUGGUCCAGAUCGGACGGUCAGAUCGCUCAUAAUCGCACGAUCUGACGGUUAUUAUAAAACAUAAACUUUAAAUUAUUUAUUCGGAACAUCCGGGGCUCCGAUUCACAAUCUGUGAAUUCCUACACGAUCCUAGAAAUACCUAGAUUAACACAUAUUAAAUUUGAGACCAUCCAACGGUCCCAACCUAUCGAACCUGGAUAACGCGCAAUAUACGAUCGUCCGUUCGAUAAUCAAACGACGUCCGAAUUGAGAUCCACGAAAUCCUACGCACUCGUGACAACCUAAGGAUCUCAUCGAGACACAGUGCUACUCCACUACCCUCGCCCAUGCGCCGCCACACGAGCCGGCAGCGUUGGGUGUCCAAAGCGAUUACGCAUCGCCGGAAAAUCUCAAAACCACAGCUCCAAACUCCUACCCUAUGUAUAACACCCUAUUUGGAGCCACUUUUGUUCUUGGACCUACCCCAAAAACUGACCGGAAGUGGCCGGAAUCGUGAUCCCAAAACCUGCCGAAUUUCAAUUCGUAAAUCGAAUUGGCUACGCUAAGAAUCGAUCCAAUCCUACCCAACAAGCAGCUAGAGCAUGAAAUGUAGGUGAGAAACCACACCUUGCUCGUCGGAAUCGGUGGCCGGAGGAGGGAGAUCGACGGCGGUGAAGAUCGGACGACACCGGUCGCUUCUUCUCCAUUUUCCGGCGAAACCACGGCGGCUGGAGGCGGGAGUCGGCUGGGGCUGGAAGAGGACGACGCCCCGGUCAUUUUGGUACCGGCCCCGUCCACAGCCGUGGCCGGUGGCCGGAGAUACGAGAGGAGAGAGAGAGAGAGAGAGGCCGACAGGGAGAGAGAGAGAGAGAGAGAGAGAGAGAGAGAGAGAGAGAGAGAGAGAGAGAGAAAUCUGAUUUUUAUAAAAAUCCCAUUUUGAAAUAAUUACGAUUGUGCCACUGGGUUUCUUUUGACCAUAUCUCUCUCGUUACAACUCCGAUUCGAGCCCACUACGUGUUUACGAACUCAUCUCAGUACGACCUAUCCAAAAAUACUAGUCACUGCCCCAAACUCUCUCCGGUUAAGAAAAUGACCAAAAUGCCCUUAUCUCAAGGGUAAAUUUGUAAUUUCCCUUAAAUAAUUUAAAUAAUGUAAAUAAGGGUUAAAUUUGGAGUCGGGGUGUUACAGGCUUUUCUAUUCAAGUGUUUUCCAAUUUGGAUGAUUUUUGCGAGCAUUAUUCUUCAAGUGGACCAAAUAAUAGACAAUUCCUCUCAUUAGACACCGUUGCAGGGUGAGCUCAAACAUUGUGUCCCAUAUUUGAAUCCCUUAUAUGCACACAUGAAUACAAGCAUAGACACACAUAUGCACGAAUUUGAUAUAUAUAAUUGCAUGUUGACGCGAGUCUCCUAAUUAAUCAAGGAGAUUUAUUUCCUUGAUUAAUUAAGGGAUUUACUUUUCUAUUUUUUAUAUAAUUGAUAAAUUAUUGUACAAUUAGGAGAUACUUUCCUAAUUCUUUACUGUAUCUAAUUCCUUAUAAAGCCCAUAUGUAAACUCUUAUAUAUACCUCCUUAUGGAGAAGAAUAAAUUCAACCUAAUACAUUCAAAUCAUAUUCAUAUUUUAGCAUUGCAUACCACAAAAGUUCAACUCGACAAUGUUUCUAGUCCACAAGAUUUAGUAAUAUUGACUGUGGAAUAACAGAAGGUAUUUAUUACCAUAUUACAAACAUUACCUGCAACUGAAGAGUAUGGAAGUUGGAUUAUGCAUUGCCAAAAUAGCAAUCACUGCAAAAGUAAAAAGCAUCUCCUUUUUCUUUAUAUUCCUAAUAACGAAAUUGUUCUAGUUCUUCAAUCUCUCUGAAAUAAGCAUGCAAAAUAAAAUAAGAAAUCUACAAUUCACAUCAACAUAGAAGUUAAACAUAUCAAAAAUAUAUCAAAGGAGAAACAAAAGUUCAACCAACCAAACUCAUGACCAUUCAAGAAUGUACAAGAUUUUCAAUCAAAGCUACUAGAUAAAGAGUAAAACCCCAAUAGGAAGCAAUAAAUAUAUAAAAUAACUUAUGCAAGUACAGAAAGAAAGCAGCUGAUUAAAAGUAAACAAAAUACAAUAACAAUUAAAGUUUUCAGGCAACAUAAGGCAGUAAACGAAAACCGACAAUGAUUUACAAAAUCACAACAAAAUUUAAAGCAAACCAAAUGAAUUGCUUACCAAAUUGUAGUUAUUUCCCUGGUUAUCCACAGAAAUCCAAAGACUUUAAGCAAUUGGGUAUGUGGUAUUUUCCCAGGUUCCAAAUGAGAAAAGAAAAUGAAUGGCAGUUCUUCAAUCUAUUAAACAAUAAUGGGUUUUGUUUGUACAAAACAGCAAACGUAUCAUACUAGUAAAUCACAUGUACGUUCACCUACGCUUUUGCUUUUUUUUCUUUUGUUGUCCUCAUGUGCUUCAGCUUUUUCUUUCUUUUCUUAUGGCAUGGGAUGGAGAAGACGCACGAAGAAGAGGAGAGCGUGAAAUCAUAUUGGGGUAUUUUCAAAAUUUUGUAAUUUUCAUUAAACCCAACACCUUCUCAAAUCUGAUUAUCGCAUAAUCAGAAAAUGAAAGCAGAUCAUUGGCUGCUUUACUUUAUUGCUUUCUCCCACAACAAUUUUUAUAAUAAGUGAUUUUCUCAUAAGUUACCAAACGGGCUAGGCUUCCCAAAAAAUUUUAAAAAUCACUUAUCACCCCAAAUAAGCAAUGCCAAACGGGUACUUAACCCUAUUAUGUAUGAUACUUUGCGGGGUUUUUAUGUACUAGACAUAUUUUAACUGUCUUUGUUCUCUUAAAUAAUUUUGAACUAAACUAUGAGAAUUUAAAAAAAAAAAAUUUUAAAAAAAAGCGCCAAAACUUGACCCCCAGUUUGAAAAAUGUCAUUUUUUUGUAAAAUAUAACAAAUAUAGCAAAAAACUCACCUAAAUAGACAGAAAUGCCCUUAAAUUUAAAAUCCACACAAACCUAAAAAAUAAAGAGAUUUUCUAUUUAAACCCCACACUUCUCUUAGUUCAUCCCAUGCUCUAAGUUUACCUCAACUUUUAAUUUGAAUUUUCACAAUUUCUAAGAAAACCCCACUAUCUUCCCAAACUACCCUUAAAUACACCUCAAGCUCAAAAAAUAAGAAAUAAAAGAAAUUUUCUAUUUAAACCCCACAAGCUACCCUUAGAAGAGGAAGUACAUUCUUAUUUGAUAGAUACUUGAUUUGUUGACAAUGUUAAUUUAUAGAUUGGUAAAUUUUUUGUGCAUAAUAUGUGAUUCUUAUUUGAUUUCUACCUGCGAAUGCCAUCUAGAAUUUUAAACAUUGAAACACUAUGUACUGAAGCUUUAGGCACUUACUUUGAGAUGAGAUAAAACUGGUACUUGAGGUUGCUACACAUUGCAAUAGGAGUGGGCCAUCUAAUCGGCCAUCAAUGGAGAAUACAUUGAAGCUUUUAUUAGAGUGGAAAAGCAACAAGAAAAAUAACCCAACUAUUGAAGCAUACUGGAAUUCCAAAAAUGACAAUAAUAUUACUGUUCCCAACAGAAAAAAAAAACACAAACAAAUAGAACCCCAAAUCCGAAAUUUAAUACUUUCUAGAGAAAGAAAACAGCUUUACUAAAACAUCAGGUAAAAAAAAACAAACAAACAAAAGCAAUCAACAGCCAAGCAAUCAACAAAGGGAAGAAAAUAAGAUCAUUACAGCCAAACAGUCAACAAGUCUUUCCAUUAGCUCCCACACAGAUUUUUAAGAGGCAUGCUAGUCAAUGUUCUACGUCUCUGGCAAUACGAUGUAGAAGAGUUUGUAUUUUUCUAAAACUUAAUAUGAAGAGUGGUGGGGUGUGUAUAGAUGUAUUAGGGUUAAGUAUUAAGUUGGAUGACCUUUUUUGUCAUUUUACACAAUAAUAAAACUUACAACUUAAUGAUUUAAGUAUUGGGGUGAACUAAGAGAAGUAUGGGGUUUAAAUAGAAAAUCUCAAAAUAAAACCUUAUUAGAUUGGGAAUCUUUAUAUGUACAUUUGCAGACGUAUUGUUGCCUUAGUCAAACGGUGAGUGCAGUUCUUCCUUGAUUCUUCGUUCAAUUUCUUCUUCAUUUAAUCUUCAUACUAAAUUAUAUUACAUAUAGGGCAUACAUCCAAAAACCAUUGAAAAACAACAUUUUUGUGUUGGUGAAUUAAACAGAAAAUUGUAUACUGUGAAUCUAAUUGUGAAGCAUAAGAAACAUAAGCCAGACUUUUUCCAUUCACUUCAAGAUAAAAGUUUCCUCUAUCUGCAGAUUAUUGCACUUUAAACUUCCUUGCCUAACUUCUAACUUCCCUUUUACAUUUAAUUUGUAUUUUAUUAUGCAAUUUUCUAGGAGCAGCGUUCUGGAACUUAUCAUGGGAUUCCUAUUUUAUUAAUCUGCUUUAGUUUUGUUUGGUCGUUAAAAAAAAAAAAAAAAGCAAGAUACUUGAUAAUAUUGUUGUUUCUUACUUGCUUCACUAUUCGUUUUUACUUUAGCAUUCUAAUCUCUUUGUAAUUCCAAAUUUAUCCAAAAAUUUUAUAUGGUGUAUAAGGCUAGAUUUUGUAUUGCAUAUUACAGAUUGCAGAUUAUUAAUAUUAGCUAUUUUACUGAUGUUGUGCUGGAUAAUGCCAGGAUUGUAUGUGUGGGAGCCGAACCAUAUUACAAGUAUAGAAGAAAAAAAAAAUCAAUCUUACAUCAAUAAUAUAUAUAUAAGAAAAAAUUGCAAUUUUGUAAAACUUUGUACUCAAUUUCAUGUAUCAAAACGGAAAAUUAUACUGAUAAAAUCUCAUUUCCCUUUGAACUAGUUAUUUUCUAUUCCUUUUUUUUUUUUUUUUGGUCAAACUAUUUUCUAUUCCCUUGGCUCAUUGGUUUGUAUUAGAGGAUUAAUACUUGCUUUUUUAUGUUAGUUGUGUAAUGCCCACAAACAUUUUACAUUUAUAUAAAUGAAGUUAUUAUGGAUUCAAUUGGGGGGGCCAUUAGAAUAAUUAUAUGGUUUGCAUUGUUAAAUAUAGGGGUGGGCUCGGUCUGGGUUGGUUUGAUUUUGGGCUCAACCUGAACAACGAACCGUAGGUCUAAGUUUGGCUAUUUUAGAAACCGAAACCAAACCAUAAUUGAUGAAAACCAACCACUUCGGUUAACUAGACUUGGUGGGUUGGUUUGGUUCGGUUUGGAUUUUUUGGCUUUCUUAGAGAGAGAGGGAGAGAGAGAGAGAAAAUAAAAGCGAUGGAGAGAGUGAGAGAUGGAGAGGAGAAGAAGAAAAAUAAAAGAGGGAGAGAUGGAGAAGAAGAAGAAGAAGAGGAGAAAAAGAAGAGAGAGAGAGAAGAAGGAAAAAAAGAGGGAGUGAAGACAAACGUAAGAAUGAGAAAGAAAAAAAAAAAAAAAGAGAGAGAGAGAGAGAGAGAGAGAGAGAGAGACUGAUGGAAACAAGACAAAUGAAGAGAUGGAGAGAGAAGAAUAGGAAAAGAUUGAAACUAUGUAUUUUAUAUAUAUAUAUAUUUAUAUAUUUAAUACUAUUGGUUUGGUUUGGUUUGGUUAAACUGUGAUUUUGAAUAUUGCAAACCGUACACCGAACCAUAUAUUUCUGUUUGGUUUGGGUUCAAACCGAUGACUAAAAAAAGAUUUUAAAAAAACCAAACCAACCCAAACCAUCAGUUUGGUUUGGGCAGUUUGACUGGGUUACCGGUUUGAAUGCCCAGCCCUAGUUAAAUAUAUGAACUAAAACCCAAAUUUUACUGUGUUAAGAGCAAAUUGUGAAGGGGCCAGGGCCACCUUAGGCCCUAGAGUACCUCUGCUCCUGGCUGGAUUGGUACUUUUAAUUUACUUGGGUUACUUUUGAUGCGAGUGUGUUCUCUUAUACACAUUGUACGUAUUAUAUGGCAUCACCCUUUGAGAAAAAAAUUAUUCAUUUAUCAAUAAAUAGGAUGAUAUAAAUCAACUUUUGUUCUUCUAUACAAACAUGGGUUAAAAAUAUUCCAAAGUUUUAUUUAAUAAAGUUUAUUUUUCAAGUUUAUGUGGGUUUUAAAUUUGAGGCUAUUUGUGUCCAUUUAGGUGAGUUUUUGGCUAUAUUUUUUAAAUAUUUUACAAAAACUGACAUUUUUGAAAUUAAGGGUCAAGUUUGGGCUAUUUUUGAUAAAUUCUCUAAACUAUCAGACAUAUUCUCAUAUCUUCAAUUUGUAAAUUAUUUUCGGGUAUACUGGUGAUUUGCCCCCUUAACUUGUACCUUGGUUUCAAUUGACCCCCUAUCCUUUUUUUUUAGAAAAUUAAGGAUAUGAAAUUCUUUUUUUGGCCAAUUUCUCUCCUUCCGUCUAAAUCUACAACAUUUCAUCCAAUUUGCCGUUAAAUAUGAGGGCAAAAUGGUCAUUUUAUAUGUUAAAAUAAUUAAAUACACAAAUAAAAUAAUAUGAAAUCUAAAAUGAAAGAAAAAAAUAUUAUAAUAAGAAAAAAUAAUAUGAAAUCUAAAAUGGAGGUAAAUUCUAUUAGAUUUUAUUUUAUUUUGAUCUUUUUUGCAAAUCCAAGUGUUUAAGAUUGAAUUUUUUGAUGUUUUGGUUGAUGGGUUUUGUGUGAAUUUGGAAAAAGCUUGAGAUGGGAGGCUGUAAGGCACCUAUAGUAGAGCCACUUAUGCCUUAUGAUCAAGAAUUUUACCUUUCGAUUGUUUUUGAAAGGCUUGGAUCAACUGUGAGCUUCUCAAGUGUGGAGGUAUUGAAAUUGACAGAGGGGUGGGAGAGAAGAAAUUGAGGGAGUGUGUGGGGAGGGGAACGAAUGGGGGGGAGAGAGAGAGAGAGAGAGAGAGGGGGGGGAAGGCGGUGACGGCGGAAAUGGAGGAAUGUUUGUUGGGGGAUGGUGGUGAUGAGUCUGUGGGUGAAAGAACAGAAAGGAAGAGGAGGAGGGAGAGGUAUGUGGGUUGAAGGGGGUGGGGGUGGGGGAUUAGUUUGGGAGUAAAGGAUGGUGGUCGUGGGGGAAUGGGAGGAGGAAGGGAGGAGAUGGAAGGGGUUGGCAUUAGGUUUACUCUUUUUCUUCAAUUGUUUCCAAAAAAAUAAUUUUUUUAAAUGAUUUAACUGAAAAUUUGAUGAAAUAUUGAGAAUUUAGACAGUAAGGGGGAAAUUGACAAAAAAAAGAAAGUUAAUAUCCUUAAUUUUCUAAAAAAAAAGAUAGGGGGUCAAUUGAAAGUGAGGUACAAGUUCAGAGGGCAAAUCACUAGUAUACCCAUUCUUUUCUACUUUCUUUCUUUCUUUCUUUCUUUCUUUUUUUUUUCUUUUUUGUUUUUUUUCCCUGAAAACGGUUUACAAGGCAUCCUUCGUGUUAUAUUAUUUUCUCUUCCUCUUGCUCUUCAUUUGUGCUGUCAUCUUUCUCCACCAUACCUCAUUUUUUACAUUCUAGAAUUAGAUCUAAUUGAAUUUCGUAAAGUUGGUGCUUCAUAUCUUGGAGUGCACUCAAUCCAGUCAAAUGAAUAGAGUUGAAGUUUGGGACCUUGCAUUCUAGGGACACUAUUUCCUUCAGACCAGCUGUAUAGUGGAGAAAUAAUUGUCUUGAAGAUGUAGUGGGUCAAAGUUUAGGCUUGGAUAAAUGAAAUGUGGGAACCCAGUUGCUAUGUCAUUCUGAAAAUAGCUUCAGAAGACAAAAUAUUUUAAUUUGUUUGCACCUUAAAACAGAGAAAUCCAGAAACUUUAAAAGGCCCUAAAUAGAGUUAAUUGGGAGAAGAACAUGAUCACAAUGGAAAACCUCAAAUGGUCCUGAUUAGAGCCAAGGUUUACAAACCACCAAACGAUGUUCAUUCAAAAGCAGAAGCUGCAGAACACAAAUGAAAAUCACUUUUUCUUUUUUCUUUUUAAGUAAUCAAAUUAAAAAUUACAUUACAAUGACCAUGACUGCUUCUGCUUAACAGAUGAUUAACAUCUGGUGUUGUUUGUUGUAGUUAAGGCAACAACUGCAUCUGAAUUUGAAGAGAAAAGUAUUCACAUACAUCAGCCAGGGAAACAAGUUAAACAUGACUAAAAUGAAGCCAAAUAUCUCAUCAAAUGUAAUAUUGCAGCCUAUGAAAAUCAGUUUUGGAUAGAUUAAACUCAAUUUUGUCCUGCUAAAUAAAUUUAUGCCCUCAACCCCUGCAGCAUCUCAAUUAGCAGUCAGAAGAAGGCUCGGCUACCAUAGAACACCCGCGAUCCAUCCUUCUUCUUAUCAAGUUCUAAAUUGUUGUUAUGGUUAGGAAUCACUUCGCCACGGUCUUCACAUUCUGCUUUAUCAAGAUCCAUUGGGAGCUUCAUCUUUGCCAAAGACUCAGUAAACUGUUGCAUGCUUCUCAUGUACAUGUCCACUAUUUGUUGCUGCAUUGCAGACUGCUCGGCAGCCUCCAUGUUGAUGUUCCCGAGUGGAGCUGAAAACACCUGACCGUAUUGACCAGAACCAACCGUCUUUUCCUUGCUGCUUUCGUCUUCCUUUCCUGAGAAAUUUGCAUCCUUUGUGUCUACAACUUCUCUUCCCUUCCUUGACGUUGGAGUGUCUGGACAAGCAGCAGAACCUUGAUUAGCUGCUCCUGUGGUGACACAAGUGUUGAUAGAAUUUGAUGACUCAGCAGUCACACGAUUCUUUUUCUCGAUUGAAUCAGCGGAGUUUCGAUCAUCACUCAAGCUUGUUGUGGUGGAACUUAAGAAGCCAGAGUUGUGGAUGCUCCCACUCCCAUUAGGAGAAACAGGUUCACCCUGGAUUCCCACAUUUGAACUCACAGUCAUUUCAUAGUCACGAUCAGCAGCAGGCUGAGGAGAUGCACCGAGAUGAAGAAACGAGCCAAGUCCUUGGGAACCUGGUCUCCAAGAACAGCCAUGCCUUGUCAAAUUAAAAUACUCAGUCACCAUUUGCUGACUCUCAUUUACUACAUCGAUAUCCGGGAAUUCGAUCCUCGAAUACUCAACCGGGUCUAAUACCACUUCUGAUACUUUUCGAUCAAGCAACACAACUUCUGAAGUUAUGGAUGAGUUAGCAGAUGAUUCGGAUAACGAACUGGUGGAGGGUUUAAUAGGCAAAGAUGUGUUGAGAGAAAGACUCAAUUUGACAGUUCCAGCUGGGGAAUGGAAGAGAUCAGUGGAAGACAGACUAUAAUCUUGAGUUACCUUUCCUUUGCCAAUCACAUGUGAAAUUGGGACCAAAGUGAAUCCCAAAAGCUGGUCUUCCAUGUAGUUUCUGGCCCUGCUAAGCAUCCAAAUCUCACAUUUGAGGACAGCAUCAAGUUGAGUGAUUUUCAUCCUCAAGUUUUCGUUGAAUUCAGGGUUCUUGCCACCUCCAUUGAUGAUCCUAGUUGAGAGGGUCUCAUCUGGAUUGUAAGUAAGAGAAAAUUUUGCAUAGACAUCUUGAUUUUCAUAGAUGCAUAUGUUGUGAAUGUUCCUAGCAUGAUGAGCAUAGAUUUCAAGAAUCCCUGAAAAGUGAUCAGAAUCACCAUUUACAUCACCUAUUGUGUUCGGAUUCAGGUUGUACCGGAACCCAGUUGUCUGAUUGAAUGAUUCCAUCAGAUCCGAAUAUAGCUUCUUCCCCUUGAGGAUAUUCUAAUAUUUUCUGUUUGGUAAGCAAGAAAGCUAGAAGAAUGGUAGAACAGAACAGAAACAGAGUUGAUAUAGACGAUUGAUGAAGUGAUCAAUAUAAUAUUCUAGACAAGUUUGCUUUCAUGCUUAAAACGUGGGUGUUUAAAGCAAUGUAAGAGGUUUAAUGAGAGAGAGAGCACACCUAUGCAGAAGAUGUAGUUUUCUCAGAUAGCAGAUUGACUAAUAACAAUACAUUGGAGGCCUGCUUCUGCAACUAUAUUUCUGCAAAUCUGUGGAUUCUAGAAGAAGUUUUAAAGGAUCAAUCUAUAAAUUAGCAAAGCAUUUUUCACAAGAGAAAGGUUGUGCCAAUUGAGCCUUCAGAGAGAGAGAGAGAGAGAGAGAGAGAGUUACUGUGGAAUUGUGGAGGUUGCUUAGUGGUGGGUAUGAUAGUAGGUGGGAAUAAAGAGAAGAAUGUAAAUCAAAGAAAAAAUUGAUGAUGUUAUGGUUGUUUUUUAACCACUUUUUCCUCAUGCACUUUCUUUUGGGGGUGGGUGAAGGAUAGUGAUUUGUUGAAAGGGUUGCUUUGCUUGGCAUUACAGCUUCCACUUCUAAUGUAUAACUUGCUCCACUCAGGGAAUUGGAGGCCCCCACUUGACCCCAUCUUCAUUAUCAAUCUCCCCCACCUUUCUCACACUGAGAUGCUCUCCAAAGUUAUUAGACCAUCUCUCUCUCUCUCUCUCUCUCUCUCUCUCUCUCUCCCCUGUGGCAAUAAAAUGUCUCAACAAUCCCAUACCACAAUGUGGUACAGAUACAUGUCAUGAUUUGGAAAUAAUCCCCUUUGGCCCUGCUCUAUAAAUUAUAAAUCUCUAUUGUUGAUAUGAGCAUGAAUGAAGAGGAAAGCACUCAAAAAAUAUUGCAUGUGGUUCAUAUGAGCAUAAAUAAAUAAAGAUGAAAAACACUCAGACAAGGAUUUUGCUAUGGUCAACUAUUAGCACAAACGGGUAAUUUCUGUGUGUUGAUGCAUGUGGUCUCGUCAAUAUUCAGAAAUCAAUCAUGCACAAAUGAGUCACGGUGCAUUUCAAAUUUGAAGGAACAGACAAGCCACAAUCUGGCAGCUCCAGCUCAUUAGUGGCAUUCAAUUGGAGCAUCUAUUUCUCACAACUUGCUCCGAAGAUUUUUGUGUUCCUUAAUAACUUGACUUCACAUUGUUGAAAAUGAAGUUAAUAUUUGUCCAAAUAAGCUGCUAUUUUUGAAUGAUUGGUUUAUGUGGACGUACAUGUUCCACAUGAUGUAAGGCCAGGCCUCCAAUCAAUGGAAGAACUAAAACCAAUGAUGUUGAACUUAAUGACUGACUUGUGUGAUUUAAUACCAGUGGCCAUUUUCAUGCAGACUGGGGACAAAGUCCGCCACAAAAACAAUAAAGCAACAUCUGGCGGACCCAUAGAGGCGCAAGCUUCGCUGAAAAAUGAAUUGAAGAUACCAGAAUUUGCUCCUCUACUUAUUCCUACCAAUUGUUCGAUUAAAUGCCUCAAACAAGAUUUUUUUAUUGCUGUUGUGUGAGACCUUGAAUAUUUACCUUAGGUUAUUGUGCUCGAUAGCACAAUCAUGUAGGGGAAAACGAUUUGUCAAUUGAAGCUCCACAACCAAAGUUAUGAAUUUUAGAAGCUUUUGAAGAAUUUUGAAGUUGCAAAACAGAGUUGACGAAAAAGACAACUCAGAAUGUUUGUAGUCACAAUCCCGUGCUUCUCCAACUUUAAUUCUUUUUCAAAAUGGCCACUAGCAAGGACAUAUGUCAAAUUUUAACUAGACCAACUUUAAAAAUUCAUAUGUGCUGGGAAUCUGAACUCGCAAUCACAUGUACUUUUAUCUCGUGACAUAUAAUUUUGGUUAGAUUAAUGGAUGAUUUCAUAUGAAUUUUAGUAAACUAAUUGUGUAAUUGACAUGGAUUUUGUUCAUAUUUGAUAUGAAUUUUGGUAAACUAAUUGUGUAAAAUGAAUUUUGGGCAUAUUAAGUUAUAUACAAAAUAGACUAUAGUCAAUUUGUCUUAGACGUAAAACUCUUAUUUAUUUUAAUUAUGAAUAACAUUAGUAUUAUUUAAAUUGUAAGGGCAUUUAGUUGUUUACCUUUUUUCUUACUUUUAGCCUUUUUUUUUAAAUUUCUGGAUCCGCCACUGAAAAAAACUGACUAAUUAUAUCUACUGCUAAUUAGCUCUUAAUUACAUACAAAGUACUAGGUUCAACAAAUCUACCAUAUUUUUUGGGAAUACAAUCUUUAGCCAACAUAACCAUCUGUUCGUAGCCCAAACCAAAAUCACUAUGUUUGACAGUCUCAAAGCGUGGCAAGUCAAGGUACCACUGAUAUGGCUCAACAGGCAGUCCCCUCUCUCCAAAAUCCUACAUACAAUCAAUACAUGUAUCAUCCAUAUAUCCCGCGCAUUAGAUCACAUUCCUUUGUUAUUGUUAGUUCGGACAAUAUAUUGACUGUAAAAUCAUGUGUACCUGUUGUGGAGAUCAUCGAAACGCUCUUCCCUUUGGCCUCCCCCUAUCAACUCUCCCACCACCUGAAAAUGAAAAAUGAAAACAUAAACGUACGUAUGUACGUGCAAAUUAAGAGAUGCAAAAUGCUCUGAAAUUUCAUGUCCGUCAAGUAUCUGCACAAAAGCAAAGCAAUAAUAUUAUGAAAACCAACGCAACAUGUAAUCCUUAUAGGGAGUUCCACAUAAUAGGGCACAAAUUAUGAAAAACCCUUCGAUGCCUAAAUUCUAACAGAAAACCCAAUUGAAUUUUCAACCAGCUCAUAAAUAACGAACAAUUAAACUGAAAAAAAAAAAUUUAAUAAAUUGGGACAACUGGCUAUUUUUGGGUUUUUAUUUCUCCAAAAACCAAUUUAUAGUGUUCAUCUAUACGCUUUUUAGGAGUUAUGGUUCCUGAACUUCGUAUCAACUUGAUCUUUAGUCCUUGAACUUUCAAAAUGACUUCCACAGUCCCUCAAUUCCACUUUCGUUUGUAACAAAAGUCCUGGAGUAACUUUGGUUACUUUUUUCAGUCAAAGUGAGGGGUAAAUUGGUCCUUUUAAGUGUUUAGUGUAAUUUCGUGUAAUUUCUAAAACCUCAUGAGGUUCUGUGAAAACACUGAAAAAUUCAGGGGCGUUAUUAUAAAUAACUCAAUCUGGAAUAAAAAAUUAUGUAAAUUCUACAUUAAAAAUUAUUAUCAAGUACCCCUCAAAAUCAACAACGGGAAUGGAAUGAACUAGAGGGGUAGUUGAUACAAUUUUAAAUUAUUUUUUUCCUCUAAGCCUCAUUCUUGGCAACACGUUCGACCAGAAAAAAAAAAAAGAAACGUGCAAACAUGCCUGGAGUGAUCUAUAUUCUUCAACGUAUUAAAGUUUGUAAACCCAUGGCUGUCACGACACGCUUGUUAGACAAUUUGGAAUGCGUAACAGUAAAACAAUCGAAACUUGACUUGCAAAGAAACAGAAUGAGAGACCGUGGAACUGAAACUUUUUUUUUUUUUUGUUUUGGUUAAAUGUAAUCUGAACAAUUUUUAAGAAUACAGAGACCAGUCAGUCAUUAUUCACAGCGUCUUUGUUUUUUUUUUUUCUCUUUUCUUUUUUUCCUUUUCCUUCCCUUUGAUGGUACAUUAUUUCAC